rnacentral:rRNA from 1 species
CCUACGGGAGGCAGCAGUGGGGAAUAUUGGGCAAUGGGCGAAAGCCUGACCCAGCAACGCCGCGUGAAGGAAGAAGGCUUUCGGGUUGUAAACUUCUUUUGACAGGGAAGAGCAGAAGACGGUACCUGUCGAAUAAGCCACGGCUAACUACGUGCCAGCAGCCGCGGUAAUACGUAGGUGGCAAGCGUUGUCCGGAUUUACUGGGGGUAAAGGGCGUGUAGCCAGGCUGACAAGUCAGAUGUGAAAUCCGGGGGCUCAACCCCCGAACUGCAUUUGAAACUGUUGGUCUUGAGUAUCGGAGAGGCAGGCGGAAUUCCUAGUGUAGCGGUGAAAUGCGUAGAUAUUAGGAGGAACACCAGUGGCGAAGGCGGCCUGCUGGACGACAACUGACGGUGAGGCGCGAAAGCGUGGGGAGCAAACAGGAUUAGAUACCCUUGUAGUC